rnacentral:rRNA from 1 species
CCUACGGGAGGCAGCAGUGAGGAAUAUUGGUCAAUGGCCGAGAGGCUGAACCAGCCAAGUCGCGUGAGGGAAGACGGCCCUACGGGUUGUAAACCUCUUUUGUCGGGGAGCAAAGCGAACCACGUGUGGUUCAUUGAGAGUACCCGAAGAAAAAGCAUCGGCUAACUCCGUGCCAGCAGCCGCGGUAAUACGGGGGAUGCGAGGGUUGUCCGGAUUUAGUGGGUUUAAGGGGGGCGUAGGCGGAGGUGCAAGGCAGCGGUCAAAUGGCGGGGCUAAACCCCGUACUGCCGUGGAAACUGCAUCCCUUGAGUGCGCAAGAAGUAUGCGGAAUGCGUGUUGUAGCGGUGCACUGC